rnacentral:rRNA from 1 species
UACGAAGGGUGCAAACGUUGCUCGGAAUUAUUGGGCGUAAAGCGCACGUAGGCGGCUUAGCAAGUUGGAUGUGAAAUCCCUCGGCUCAACCAAGGAAGUGCAUCCAAAACUGCUGAGCUUGAGUACUUAAGAGAAUCGCGGAAUUCCCGGUGUAGAGGUGAAAUUCGUAGAUAUCGGGAGGAACACCAGUGGCGAAGGCGGCGAUCUGGGAAGAUACUGACGCUGAGGUGCGAAAGCGUGGGGAGCAAACAGG